rnacentral:rRNA from 1 species
GAUAAACGCUGGCGGUCUGCAUAACACAUGCAAGUCGAACGAAGCUCUUUGGAGCUUAGUGGCGGACGGGUGAGUAACGCGUGAGGAUCUGCCUUUAGGACUGGGACAACGAUCGGAAACGAUCGCUAAUUCCAGAUAUGCAGUUAGUGAAACGGAGCAAUCCGCCUAAAGAUGAACUCGCGCCCGAUUAGCUAGUUGGUAGUGUAAGGGACUACCAAGGCAACGAUCGGUAGCUGGUCUGAGAGGACGAUCAGCCACACUGGAACUGAGACACGGUCCAGACUCCUACGGGAGGCAGCAGUGAGGUAAUUUUCCGCAAUGGGCGAAAGCCUGACGGAGCAAGACCGCGUGUGGGAGGA